UACCCAAAUUAAGGUUAUAUAUGGGAUGAAGGUAUGAGAAAACUUUGUUAUGGUAGAAGAGAGACAGCUUACAACUUCAAUGGAAAGAGCUCUGGAUUAGAGUUAGGAGGGACCUCACAAGUCUUCUGACCCAACUCAUACCUGAGCCUUUAUAACCUCCUUCAACAAGUGGUCAUUCAGUCACUGCUUGAAGGCCCCCAGAGCUUGAAUCCCUUCAUGGUUUGUGAUACCAUUCUGUGCAUCAAAGUUGCUCAUUUAGUCAACCAAUAGCUCUCCGUGUUCGCAACAUCUGUUAAAGAGACCUUCUGGGGACCCGUGAAGCUAUUCUAAACUAAAUUGUACUUAUGCAGAGCACCCAGGUGCAGUGCAUAGUCAAAGGAACAAAGAAGGAUCUUCAGUCAUUCCACUUGGCCUUUACAUGAGAAGACAGAGUAAUAUCUCUGUUCUUGAUCCAUUGUCAGCAUACGGUGUCCAUUUGGACAUUCCAGCACCCAUAAAAGGCAACUUUGUAUUUUAUGUAUCAAACUGUAAAUAAAGCCGUCCUCUAUGUAUAA